rnacentral:snRNA from 1 species
UCAGCGGACUGCUCGAGC